UAUUGCUAUUUUCGUUUAUUUUAUUAGUUACUGGAUUUCUUUUUAGUAUCAGCCCAUUUUGAUAAAUUUGAAGCAUGGGUUCCUCCCAGUGUGAUCUGGCGGGUAAAGUGCGCUUCUUUUGCAUCUGGACAAUGGUUACUGCAGUAAUAUUUGGUCUCCUUUGUGGUCUCAUCUUGAGCAGAUAAUGAGCAUAUUCUAUGCAAAAGAAUUAAGGCGUGUUUUUGUGGCAACACUUGUCUUACUCGUACUUAACUGUGUUCACUUACUCGCUGGUGUAGUAAUGUUCGUUGGAUUUGUUAAAGAUAUAUCCUGGAUGUUUCUGGCUGGGCUUGUACUUACCUCAAUUUGUCCAUACUUUGAGUUUUUUCUCUUGAUUCCCACAGCUAUUCAGAUUUUGUAUACUUUUUACUCGUGCCUAUAUUAUAAGCAAAUGAGACGAGAAAAUAAAUAGAUUAAAUUCUAACGUAUAGCGAUCACUUACGAUGUGAUAGAUCUCGAUGGGACCAUUUUAAUAAGAAAGUUUCGGAAUAAACAAGAAAAGCUUUUUUUUUAAUUGUAUUCAUCGUGA
rnacentral:misc_RNA from 1 species